UACGUAGGGUGCAAGCGUUGUCCGGAAUUACUGGGCGUAAAGAGCUCGUAGGUGGUUUGUCGCGUUGUUCGUGAAAACUCACAGCUCAACUGUGGGCGUGCGGGCGAUACGGGCAGACUGGAGUACUGCAGGGGAGACUGGAAUUCCUGGUGUAGCAGUGGAAUGCGCAGAUAUCAGGAGGAACACCGGUGGCGAAGGCGGGUCUCUGGGCAGUAACUGACGCUGAGGAGCGAAAGCAUGGGGAGCGAACAGG
rnacentral:rRNA from 1 species